ensembl:lncRNA
GGAACUCACUCACUCGUCAAUAAAUGCAAAAUAAAAGACUGGAACUCACUCACUCGUCUUUUAAAUGCAAAAUAAGAAUUCUAACAAUUUUGUAUCAAUUUAGAACCACAAACCGUUUGUUAGUUAACCAUAACAACAGAGCGUCUAUGGCUGUGCGCGCGCACACUCUAUCUCUCGCCGGAGCUCCCCAAUCUCUCUUCAAUGAUUAAUUUGAUUCGUUGGACUGAAGAGACGCUUUACCUGCAGUAGAGCUUCCAGACGGGACAGGAACAGAUCAAACAACCGUAUUAAUUUGUGAUCAAGACGGAGUAUUGCUUUUAAUCGAACCGGCUACGAAUGAACAUCCUCCAGUUUAUGAGGCCGAUGAAAAUAUUGCCAUGGAAGGGUCUGAAAGAACUGAGACUGUGGUCGAGGAAGCGGCGGAAACAUCAGGGUCGCAAUAUCAGCAUGUAAGACAUAUCCUAGGCUACUCACUUACUUUAUUGGCCAAGUAUGUCGCUUGAAUGUUAAAACAAUAUUUUCCUCUAUUUCAGUUGACGACUAAAGAAUUAUAUCGACUUCAUCUUCAGCGGGAAAUCGCUAAGGCUGAUUUGCAAAUGGAGUACACAAAGCUGCUGAUAGAGGUAAAAAAGGAGGUUGGGCAGAAA